UGGGGAAUAUUGCACAAUGGGGGAAACCCUGAUGCAGCGACGCCGCGUGGAGGAAGAAGGUCUUCGGAUUGUAAACUCCUGUUGUUGGGGAAGAUAAUGACGGUACCCAAUAAGGAAGUGACGGCUAACUACGUGCCAGCAGCCGCGGUAAAACGUAGGUCACAAGCGUUGUCCGGAAUUACUGGGUGUAAAGGGAGCGCAGGCGGGAAGACAAGUUGGAAGUGAAAUCUAUGGGCUCAACCCAUAAACUGCUUUCAAAACUGUUUUUCUUGAGUAGUGCAGAGGUAGGCGGAAUUCCCGGUGUAGCGGUGGAAUGCGUAGAUAUCGGGAGGAACACCAGUGGCGAAGGCGGCCUACUGGGCACCAACUGACGCUGAGGCUCGAAAGUGUGGGUAGCAAACAGGAUUAGAUACCCUGGUAGUCCACACCGUAAACGAUGAUUACUAGGUGUUGGAGGAUUGACCCCUUCAGUGCCGCAGUUAACACAAUAAGUAAUCCACCUGGGGAGUACGACCGCAAGGUUGAAACUCAAAGGAAUUGACGGGGGCCCGCACAAGCAGUGGAGUAUGUGGUUUAAUUCGACGCAACGCGAAGAACCUUACCAAGUCUUGACAUCCCUUGACGAUGCUGGAAACAGUAUUUCUCUUCGGAGCAAGGAGACAGGUGGUGCAUGGUUGUCGUCAGCUCGUGUCGUGAGAUGUUGGGUUAAGUCCCGCAACGAGCGCAACCCUUAUGGUCAGUUACUACGCAAGAGGACUCUGGCCAGACUGCCGUUGACAAAACGGAGGAAGGUGGGGAUGACGUCAAAUCAUCAUGCCCUUUAUGACUUGGGCUACACACGUACUACAAUGGCGUUAAACAAAGAGAAGCAAGACCGCGAGGUGGAGCAAAACUCAGAAACAACGUCCCAGUUCGGACUGCAGGCUGCAACUCGCCUGCACGAAGUCGGAAUUGCUAGUAAUCGUGGAUCAGCAUGCCACGGUGAAUACGUUCCC
rnacentral:rRNA from 1 species